rnacentral:rRNA from 1 species
UACGUAGGGUGCGAGCGUUGUCCGGAAUUAUUGGGCGUAAAGGGCUCGUAGGCGGUUUGUCGCGUCUGCUGUGAAAUUUCGGGGCUCAACCCCGAACUUGCAGUGGGUACGGGCAGACUAGAGUGUGGUAGGGGAGACUGGAAUUCCUGGUGUAGCGGUGAAAUGCGCAGAUAUCAGGAGGAACACCGGUGGCGAAGGCGGAUCUCUGGGCCUUACCUGACGCUCAGGCACGAAAGCUAGGGGAGCGAACAGG